GGCUAAAACUCAAAGGAAUUGACGGGGGCCCGCACAAGCGGCGGAGCAUGCGGAUUAAUUCGAUGCAACGCGAAGAACCUUACCAAGGCUUGACAUGAACCGGUAAUACCUGGAGACAGGUACCCCGCUUGCGGUCGGUUUACAGGUGGUGCAUGGUUGUCGUCAGCUCGUGUCGUGAGAUGUUGGGUUAAGUCCCGCAACGAGCGCAACCCUCGUUCUAUGUUGCCAGCACGUGAUGGUGGGGACUCAUAGGAGACUGCCGGGGUCAACUCGGAGGAAGGUGGGGACGACGUCAAAUCAUCAUGCCCCUUAUGUCUUGGGCUUCACGCAUGCUACAAUGGCCGGUACAAAGGGUUGCGAUACUGUGAGGUGGAGCUAAUCCCAAAAAGCCGGUCUCAGUUCGGAUUGGGGUCUGCAACUCGACCCCAUGAAGUCGGAGUCGCUAGUAAUCGCAGAUCAGCAA
rnacentral:rRNA from 1 species